GACGAACGCUGGCGGCGUGCCUAAUACAUGCAAGUCGAGCGGACGGAUGGGAGCUUGCUCCCUGUCCGUCAGCGGCGGACGGGUUAGUAACACGUUGGCAACCUUCCUUUAAGACUGGGAUAACUCCCGGAAACCCGGGCUAAUUCCGGGUAACUCUUUCCCUCCCCUUAGUGCAAUCUGAAAGGUGGCAUUUCGCUAUCCCUUUCAGUUGGUCCCGCGGCGCAUUAGCUAGUUGGUGAGGUAACGGCUCACCAAGGCGACGAUGCGUAGCCGACCUGAGAGGGUGAUCGGCCACACUGGAACUGAGACACGGCCCAGACUCCUACGGGAGGCAGCAGUAGGGAAUCUUCCGCAAUGGGCGAAAGUCUGACGGAGCAACGCCGCGUGAGUGAUGAAGGUUUUCGGAUCGUAAAACUCUGUUGUCAGGGAAGAACAAGUAUCGAAGUAACUGCCGGCAUCUUGACGGUACCUGACCAGAAAGCCACGGCUAACUACGUG
rnacentral:rRNA from 1 species